rnacentral:rRNA from 1 species
UCGAGAAUCAUUCACAAUGGGGGAAACCCUGAUGGUGCGACGCCGCGUGGGGGAAUGAAGGUCUUCGGAUUGUAAACCCCUGUCAUGUGGGAGCAAAUUAAAAAGAUAGUACCACAAGAGGAAGAGACGGCUAACUCUGUGCCAGCAGCCGCGGUAAUACAGAGGUCUCAAGCGUUGUUCGGAAUCACUGGGCGUAAAGCGUGCGUAGGCGGUUUCGUAAGUCGUGUGUGAAAGGCGGGGGCUCAACCCCCGGACUGCACAUGAUACUGCGAGACUAGAGUAAUGGAGGGGGAACCGGAAUUCUCGGUGUAGCAGUGAAAUGCGUAGAUAUCGAGAGAAACACUCGUGGCGAAGGCGGGUUCCUGGACAUUAACUGACGCUGAGGCACGAAGGCCAGGGGAGCGAAAGGG